rnacentral:rRNA from 1 species
AUACGGAGGAUGCGAGCGUUAUCCGGAUUUAUUGGGUUUAAAGGGAGCGUAGGUGGGAUAUUAAGUCAGCUGUGAAAGUUUGGGGCUCAACCUUAAAAUUGCAGUUGAUACUGGUUUCCUUGAGUACGGUACAGGUGGGCGGAAUUCGUGGUGUAGCGGUGAAAUGCUUAGAUAUCACGAAGAACUCCGAUCGCGAAGGCAGCUCACCGGGCCGGAACUGACACUGAUGCUCGAAAGUGCGGGUAUCAAACAGGAUUAGAUACCCUGGUAGUCCGCACAGUAAACGAUGCAUACUCGCUGUUUGCGAUACACUGUAAGCGGCCUAGCGAAAGCGUUAAGUAUUCCACCUGGGGAGUACGCCGGCAACGGUGAAACUCAAAUGAAUUGGCGGGG